CCGCCCCGCCCCUCCGGGCAGCGAGGUUCCGCCUCACCUUUCAAAGGCCCUAUGCUGGUCCGGCUUCUCUCCACCACCCACCCACUGACGGCAGGGCCCCGCCUGCAGGCCGUUCAGCUAUUUGUCUGCUGUUGCGCGCACCGUGACCCACGCGGAAGUGGAGAGCGGCGAGUGGAGGUCCCAGCGCAGCACUCACGUUACUUGAGGAAGCCCAGAAGAGGAGGAGGAGGAGAAGAAGGAGAGAACAGGAGUCAGGUAUGGCUCUUUCUCAGGUAAGGUCAUAUUCUCAGUGGAUUCUCACACUGCCUUCCUGAAAUGGCCUUCUCUGGACUCGCUAAUCAUGUCUGACUCUGGAGUGUCCUGUCUGACUCCUGUACAUGCACACUCACCUGGGGCCUUCCCUCAGGGUCUGUCGUCUCCACUUAGAUCUCGUCUCCCCAUGACCCGGUGACCUGGCCCUUGUGAGGAGGCUCCCCUGGGCACUGUCCUGGGCAGGGCUUCACAUCCAUGGGUUGGAGAUGGGGUUUCAGUGCUGUUGGGCAGCAGGGAUUGCUUUGCUUAGGGCCCACCUGGAUUCCCUGUCUGCCCUCUGUCAACCAGGGUAAGGAAGCUGCACACUAGAUGUGAGGUAUUAACAUGCACAGUACGUGCUAAAAUCUGGAAAAGAGGCCAAUAAGGGGAAAUCAGAUCUGAAUUUUUAAAUAGCAUUUAAAACUAAAUGAGGACCUCCUUGAAAAUCUGAAAUAUUUGGAAAUGGAAUGGAAAGUUCAGAAACAGACCUCAGGUCUAGAGAGUAUUUCAUUACAGUGUCUACUUUAAACUAUGAAAUAUAGUUGGCUAAUUAGUUUUUCUUCUUUUUUGGCCAUACAAUGCAGCUUGCAGGGUCUCAGUUCCCUGAGGAGGCAUUAAACCCGAAACCCAGUGGUGGAAGUGUGGGAUCUUAACCAGUGAACUGACAGGGAAUUCCCCCAACUUUCCUAAUCUUCAUGCAAUAUUUGGUUAUGGAGUAAAAAGGUAAACAUUGGAUUCUGUUAAUAACUACCUCCCUUACGUUAAGGAUAAAAUCAUAUUACUUUUUUUUUUUAAUAUAUUUAAAAAAUAUAUAUCGGCUGUACUGAUCUUCAUUGCUGCAGUGGCUUUUAUCUAGUUCUGGUGUGUGGUGGCCACUCUUUAGUUGCAGUGUAUGAGUUUCUUAUUACAGUGGCUUUUCUUAUCUUGCAACUCAGAUUGUAGAGCACGCUGGCUUCAGUAAUUUCACCUGCUGGGCUCUACAGCUCUUGCUCAGAAAUUGAGGCUCAUGGGCUUAGUUGCCCCUCAUCAUGUGGGAUCUUAACGGAUCAGGCACCACAGGGGAAGCCCUCGUAUUAUUUUUUAAAUCUGUAUAUUAUUUUCUGCUUGUAUUAUUAUUAUUAUUAUUAUUAUUUUUUUUGAGCUAGUAUAAGAUAAUGUCGAGGACUUUCCUGGUGGUACAGUGAGUAAGAAUGUGCCUGCCAGGGUAGGGUGCACGGGUUCCAUCCCAGGUCCAGGAAGAUGCCUCAGAGCAACUAAGCCCAUGUGCCACAACUACUGACUGUGUUCUAUAGCCUGGGAGCCAUAACUCCUGAAGCCCACACACUCUGGAGCGUGUGUUCAAAAACAAGAGAAGCCACUGCAACGAGAAGUCCGGGCAUUGCAGCCGUAAGUACAGAAAGUGUGCUCACAGCAACAAAGACCCAGCAAAACCAAAAUAAAUAAGCUUUAGAAAAGACA
rnacentral:lncRNA from 1 species